rnacentral:rRNA from 1 species
UACGAAGGGGGCUAGCGUUGCUCGGAAUCACUGGGCGUAAAGGGCGCGUAGGCGGACUCUUAAGUCGGGGGUGAAAGCCCAGGGCUCAACCCUGGAAUUGCCUUCGAUACUGAGAGUCUUGAGUUCGGAAGAGGUUGGUGGAACUGCGAGUGUAGAGGUGAAAUUCGUAGAUAUUCGCAAGAACACCAGUGGCGAAGGCGGCCAACUGGUCCGAUACUGACGCUGAGGCGGCGAAAGCAUGGGGAGCGAACAGG